rnacentral:tRNA from 1 species
GUGUCGCACUCUGCGCACAGCGAUACGGAUUGAAAAUCCUCGUGUCCCUGGUUCGAUUCCGGGUCUGGGCACCA